AUUGAAACAUUUGUUCUCGUACGAUUACCGAAGUUAAGCAACUUCGAGCCUUGUCAGUACCUAGAUGGGUAACCACUUGGGGAUAUCAGGUGCUGUAA